rnacentral:rRNA from 1 species
AGAGUUUGAUCCUGGCUCAGAUUGAACGCUGGCGGCAUGCUUUACACAUGCAAGUCGAACGGUAACAGGGAGCUUGCUCCGCUGACGAGUGGCGAACGGGUGAGUAAUGCAUCGGAACGUGCCUAUUUGUGGGGGAUAACGUAGCGAAAGUUACGCUAAUACCGCAUACGCCCUGAGGGGGAAAGCGGGGGAUUCGUAAGAACCUCGCGCAAUUAGAGCGGCCGAUGUCGGAUUAGCUAGUUGGUGGGGUAAAGGCUCACCAAGGCGACGAUCCGUAGCGGGUCUGAGAGGAUGAUCCGCCACACUGGGACUGAGACACGGCCCAGACUCCUACGGGAGGCAGCAGUGGGGAAUUUUGGACAAUGGGCGAAAGCCUGAUCCAGCCAUGCCGCGUGAGUGAAGAAGGCCUUCGUUG